AUUGAACGCUGGCGGCAUGCUUUACACAUGCAAGUCGAACGGCAGCACGGACUUCGGUCUGGUGGCGAGUGGCGAACGGGUGAGUAAUACAUCGGAACGUACCCAGUAAUGGGGGAUAACUAUCCGAAAGGAUAGCUAAUACCGCAUACGCCCUACGGGGGAAAGAGGGGGAUCGCAAGACAUCUUGUUAUUGGAGCGGCCGAUGGCUGAUUAGCUAGUUGGUAGGGUAAAGGCCUACCAAGGCAACGAUCAGUAGCGGGUCUUAGAGGACGAUCCGCCACACUGGAACUGAGACGCGGUCCAGACUCCUACGGGAGGCAACAGUGGGGAAUCUUGGACAAUGGGCGCAAGCCUGAUCCAGCAAUGCCGCGUGCGUGAAGAAGGCCUUCGGGUUGUAAAGCGCUUUUGUCAGGGAGCAAAUCCUUGUGGCUAAUACCCACCGGGGAUGAGAGUACCUGAAGAAUAAGGACCGGCUAACUACGUGCCAGCCGCCGCAGUAAGAC
rnacentral:rRNA from 1 species